CCGAACCACCCACUGAUUCCAAAGAGGGUUGUAGCUUGUCCCCGGUAAUAACAUUUAUCCCAGUUUCAAAUUGGCAAACUGAGUUGGUAAAACUGGAGCUCUUUGACUCUAUUUCAGUCAAACCAAUUAAUUAUGGGAUCCACAGUAACCAUUUGAGUAUAGGAAUUUGGCUCUGCCAAUGGCACUUCAAGGUUCACCUCAUCAUGGCCACAUAUAGGAGAAGGAGAUGGAUUUGCUAGUUGAGGGUAAUUAUCA
rnacentral:misc_RNA from 1 species